rnacentral:lncRNA from 1 species
UGGAGUGGAGGUUGCUAUUUGCUGGACGUGUCACAAAUAUCAGAGCCAUUCCAGCAAUGCUUCAAAAAAAAAAAAAAUCAGAGCCACACUACCUCUUGUUUGGGAUACAUAAAUGGGAGGUGUGAUUCGGUAAAAUUGUCGCACAUGUUGAUUGGCUUUGUUUCGAGCGACUUCCAAUUUAAAUAUCAGGUUUUCUUCAUAAAUAGUAGUUUAGAGAGAGUUCAUUUUCUUACAUUUACUCCUCUCCUCCACCACCUCGAAUGCUUCUAAACCUUAUUGCGUGAAUAUAUAUGUAUAUAUACUACCUCCGUCCUAUAAUAAAGCUACUACUUCUAUCAUUAAAAUUUUAUCCCAUAAUAUAACUACUCCCUGUGCUUUAUUUAGCUUGAGAGGUCUAAAAUAUCCUUUAUGCAUGCAAAUUAAUU